rnacentral:lncRNA from 1 species
UGGAUGUAUAAUAUAAAUAACAUUAAUUUAUUAAAUAAAAUAAUAACAAAUUUGUAAAGUACUUGCUGUAUUAGAAUUUUCCAUUGUUCUUUUAGAAUUCCAUUGUCUUUUCAUCCAUUGUUCAUAUGUAACUUUAACAACUUCUUCAAUGUUAUUUUCAAAAAACAGCAGUGAUAUGGUGUGGAACAAUAUCUAUGAUUUGCUUUGUCCUAUAAAAUUUGGCAAUUAUCAUAUGCUUUUUGGUUUAAUGCAGUGUUAUAGCAGUUUACUCUGGUGCCAUUUCUAUGCUGUGCAAUCCUAUCUUGUGAUUUUAUUAUCAGUUCUUCCUUUGUACAAAGUAUGUUCAAAUAUGAAUUAUAAUUUAUGAAUUAUAGAAGAAAUAUAAACUAUAUACAAAUAUAGAUACCAUCAUUUUUCUAUAUAAUCACCCUCCUUUGAAAUACAUUGGUAUCUAUUCCAUAUAAAAAAAAAUUUUUUUGCUGGAUGCACUCAUUCUCCAACAGAUUAGAUGAUUUCCCUAUUAUAUGUGAAGUUUUGCUCUCCUAAAAACUCCUUUAAGGAUCCAGAGAGAUUAAAAUCUGAGGGAGGAAGAUCUGAAAUAUAUUUGAAAUAAUAGUCCUUUUCAGUUUUUGAAUUGUGGCCAUCAUGCAGGAAAUGGGCAUUGUCCUGUAAUAAGUGAGCAAAAGUCUGACUCCUCUUUCUCUUGUUUCAGUUGAUGUUUAAUAGGAUCAAACAGGAGACUUGUACAGUGAAUGCAGAAUAUUAAUUGUCACUUUGUGAGGAAAUUCAGUAACAAAAAUACUCUUCAUAUCCCAAAAAAAUGUUGCCAUUAUCUUACUUACUGAGUAAUAGUCUUCACUUUUUUAGGCAUAGGUAAAAUGAAUUAUGACACUGCAUUGAAGUUCUUAUUAUUUCUAACAUAAAACAAUGCAUCAAAUCUCAUCUGUAGUGACAGUUAAGACUGUAAAAAAAAUUCUCUCUCUUAUAUCUCUUCAACAAUAUAGGUACGUACCUAAACUCAAUGGUUUAUAAACUGUUUUAGGAAAGCAUUCCAAAACUGCUGUUGAAGAUAAAACGUUUUAAACCAGUUGGUGCAUCAGAAUCAUUGACGUUUUUCUUCGGUGAAUGUCGCUAGGGGACUAUUCAAAAUGGCGCCAGAAAAGUUUUUAAUUAAAGAAAUUAUUAUAAUUUUUAUAUAAAAUGGCCUACACGUAAUAAG